ACGAGUUUGAUCAUGGCUCAGAUUAGAACGCUGGCGGAAUGCUUUACACAUGCAAGUCGACGUAGNGGGGCAACCCUUGGAGAGUGGCGAACGGGUGAGUAAUAUAUCGGAACGUGCCCAGUCGUGGGGGAUAACGUAGCGAAAGUUACGCUAAUACCGCAUACGAUCUAAGGAUGAAAGCGGGGGAUCGCAAGACCUCGCGCGAUUGGAGCGGCCGAUAUCAGAUUAGGUAGUUGGUGGGGUAAAGGCUCACCAAGCCAACGAUCUGUAGCUGGUCUGAGAGGACGACCAGCCACACUGGAACUGAGACACGGUCCAGACUCCUACGGGAGGCAGCAGUGGGGAAUUUUGGACAAUGGACGCAAGUCUGAUCCAGCCAUUCCGCGUGCAGGAUGAAGGCCCUCGGGUUGUAAACUGCUUUUGUACGGAACGAAAAGGUUUCUCUUAAUACGAGGAGCUCAUGACGGUACCGUAAGAAUAAGCACCGGCUAACUACGUG
rnacentral:rRNA from 1 species